UACGAAGGGGGCUAGCGUUGUUCGGAAUUACUGGGCGUAAAGCGCACGCGGGCGGAUUUAUAAGUCAGGGGUGAAAUCCCGGGGCUCAACCUCGGAAUUGCCUUUGAUACUGCCUAUCUUGAGUCCGGAAGAGGUGAGUGGAAUUCCUAGUGUAGAGGUGAAAUUCGUAGAUAUUAGGAAGAACACCAGUGGCGAAGGCGGAUCACUGGUCCGGUACUGACGCUCAGCUGCGAAAGCGUGGGGAGCAAACAGG
rnacentral:rRNA from 1 species